rnacentral:rRNA from 1 species
GACGAAGGGGGCUAGCGUUGUUCGGAAUUACUGGGCGUAAAGCGCGUGUAGGCGGUUUGCCAAGUCGGGUGUGAAAGCCUUGGGCUUAACCCAAGAAAUGCACUCGGUACUGGCAGACUAGAGGACCGGAGAGGAUAGUGGAAUUCCCAGUGUAGUGGUGAAAUACGUAGAGAUUGGGAAGAACACCAGUGGCGAAGGCGGCUAUCUGGACGGUUUCUGACGCUAAGACGCGAAAGCGUGGGGAGCAAAUAGG